rnacentral:rRNA from 1 species
ACUCAAAGGAAUUGACGGGGGUCCGCACAAGCGGUGGAACAUGUGGUUUAAUUCGACACUACGCGAGGAACCUUACCUAGGCUUGACAUGUUUAUGACAACCGUAGAAACACGGCUUUCCAGGGGUAACCCUGGACAUAUUCACAGGUGCUGCAUGGCUGUCGUCAGCUCGUGUCGUGAGAUGUUGGGUUAAGUCCUAUAACGAGCGCAACCCCUGCUGUCAGUUGCUAUCCAGUGAUGGAGCACUCUGAUGGGACUGCCUGGGAAACCAGGAGGAAGGUGGGGAUGAUGUCAAGUCCGCAUGGUCCUUAUGCCUAGGGCCACACACGUGUUACAAUGGCGAAUACAAAGGGCUGCAAAACCGUAAGGUGAAGCUAAUCCCAUAAAGUUCGUCUAAGUUCGGAUUGAGGUCUGCAACUCGACCUCAUGAAGUUGAAAUCGCUAGUAAUCGCAUAUCAGAACGAUGCGGUGAAUACGUUCUCGGACCUUGUACACACCGCCCGU